ACUUUCGACCCCUUGAUAUUUCGCUUUCGCCAUUACUGCUUACUCCAAAAUGUUCUGCGCCGGCUGCGCAGAAGCAAGGGCAAGUGGCAGAGAACCAGAAUCUCCAGAACCCGCUCCACCCAUAUAACUGAACCCGAACCCGGAUUCAAAUUCGGGUCCAAAGUCCACAAUACUGGUAAUCAUGGGGAGUAACCGGGUCUGGCAAAUCCAAACAUGCUAAAUCAUCAACGCCGACUCCAUGCAGGUAAGCACAAAACUGAAAGCUUAAAUUUUUAUUUCUGGGUUUCAUGUAAAGCUUUAUAAAUUAACUCGUCUCUUUUUCUUUUUUGGUAAAUUUGUUCUUUGGCCGUGUUUUAAUAGGUAUACAAGGGAUUAGAUGUUCUUACUAAUAACGUGCCCGUCCAAGACCAAAAGGGUCUGUUUAGUUUUCAUUUUGAUAGUUAAAUAGUUAAUAUAUAUGAUUGCUAAUGUGUUAGUUUUAGUAUUCCCUGAUUUGUAUUUGUUGAUAUGGAUCUUUGGCUAGGAUUGCCACUUUGUUGGGCACAAUCAGCCCGAAUGUUGAAUUUACAGCUAAACAUUUUUGGGAUGCCGCUAUUCCUGUAAGAUAUUCUUAGAAAAGUUAGCAAUUUUUGUUGUGAGAUUAUUACUUCUAUUGCAAUGUGAAUAUUACUUGCAGCAUUUUUGGCGGGAUCAUUGUGAAUUGCGGAUUAUAAAUGACGGUUGUAAUUGAUGUUUUGUUUUUAUAAUGUCUGCAUGUGAAUUAAAUUGGUUUCAAGUAGGCCAUUUUGAAUUGAAGGUGCAAUGUGGUUAUGUUGAGCUGAAAAUUGAAGUACAGGUUGUGCUCUGCUCGUAUAGAAUUGAUUAGCACUUGAGCAUGGUCAAACUAGUGUUCGGGGUAGUCAAUUAUUGCUUUUAAUCUUGGGUGCUCAAGUGUACUGGAACUUGAGUUGGAGCUGGAAAUUUUUUUUUUUAACGAGCUUAAUUUAGUAAGUAUACCAGUAAAAUAUUUUUUUUGGAAAUGUAUAAUAUACAUGAAGAAAUUAGCUUCAACAACUUUGCUAGCCAAGUAUCCAACUUGAGCUUGGUUAGAAUAUGCACUCAAGUGAUUGGUUACAGCCAAGUGGUGUCAAGUUUUUGAGUGCAUCAAGCUUGCUCGCGAGCAGCUUGGUUUUUUUGUGGAACUAAGCUGAAGUUUGCUGCAAAGCGGCACAAUGCUUCAAUCUUUUUUGUUGUUGGUUUGUUACAACUGGUAGUGCCUUGCUAGUUGGCUUUGGAAGUUCCAAAAUGAGCCAGAAACUCUUAUAAUGUUUUUCCCGAUCCAUGUACUCCUUUGAGGUUUCGAAGCCAGACCUGUGCAUGAGAUGAUACAAUUUAAUUUCACUGAUUUUGUGAACUCAAGGGAUGAAAAUCUUUUACAGAGAAAGCCAUAAUAUCAUAAGCAUAAUUGACAAAGGACGAGAACCAGUAGGAACAGAAAGUUCCCCUUUUCUAAUGCUAUUUUGUACAUCAUUAAUAGUUUCACUUUGUCUUAUUUGUCUGAGAAGCUACUAUUCUCAAGAAGCUGUAUUAGUGUGAAAUUGUUUCAUUGUGCAUCCUUUUACUGGUUCUUUUUGGCCAUCACAUUCUAUACUUCAUUCAUGAUUGAUUUCUAGAUAAUCAAGGUGAUAUGAUCCCGUACACGAUUUCCAGCCAUAGUUGGAGGAGGAAGUAAUUAAUAUAUUCAGGUAAAUCUUUAUUAACUUUUAUGUCAAAUUGAAACUGCCCUCAAUCCAGCGUCUAGACAGUUGGACUCUGACAGCGUUCCGGUUAUCUUGUUUUUUGCUGGCAUGUUAUAAGAUAUUACAUGUCUAGAGAUAUAUAUAUGCAACUCUUUCCUCCUAAAAUUGAUAUUUCACAGCGUUAUAUUCGUUUUUUUUUUAACAUAAUACUGUGUAGACUUUGAUACUCCUGUUUCCUCCACCAUUGUCUCAUGUCUGGGCUCUUGUAAGUCCGUUCCUUGUGAUGAAUCCCGGGGACAUGGAAUGAAACUCUUCAUUUGGUAAUCCUGGUAAAGCUUUUUUCUUUUAAUAUCUACAUUUCGAUUAAAAGAUGGCCCAAAUAUAUGUCUGAAUGGUGAAAUUUAUGUGCGUGCAAUGCUGCUUUUUGACAGGCCAUAAUGUUCGCAAUUGUGUCUCUCUUUUUGGGGGUUUUCUGAAGGUUCGAAGAGUUAAGGUUGGAAUAAGAGCAGAGAUUGCUAAGACAUUAAAAGCCAUGAAGUUUGUUGUAAAAUGACACAUACAAAUCCCUUGUCUUACACUGAACUAUGCAAAAAUUGAUGAUCACUCCUUAACAAGCUGCAGAAGCUUCUUCACCACACGAUCGACCUCUUCAUCUUCCUUCUCCUUUAUCUUUUUUGGG
rnacentral:lncRNA from 1 species